rnacentral:snRNA from 1 species
GUGUUCACUUUAUCAGCACAAAUGCUAAAAAUUCAAUAAUGCAGAGAUUAACAGGGCCUCACUGUAAGCAUGACAUAGAUAUUUGUAAGGCAUUGCAUAGGUUU